rnacentral:rRNA from 1 species
AGAACGAACGCUGGCGGCAUGCCUAAUACAUGCAAGUCGAGCGAACACUUCGGUGUUAGUGGCGCACGGGUGCGUAACGCGUGGGAAUCUGCCCUUGGGUUCGGAAUAACAGUUGGAAGCGACUGCUAAUACCGGAUGAUAUCGAAAGAUCAAAGAUUUAUCGCCCAGGGAUGAGCCCGCGUAGGAUUAGCUAGUUGGUGAGGUAAAGGCUCACCAAGGCGACGAUCCUUAGCUGGUCUGAGAGGAUGAUCAGCCACACUGGGACUGAGACACGGCCCAGACUCCUACGGGAGCAGCAGUAGGGAAUAUUGGACAAGUGGGACGCAAGCCUAGAUCCAGGCAAGUGACCGCGUGAGUGAGUGAAGGCCGUUAGGGUUGUAAAGUCUCUUUACCGAG